rnacentral:lncRNA from 1 species
AACUGGGCCUGAUUGAGAUUAGAACCCAGAAAUAUCAGAACCCUCAAUUUGAACAGAAAUGUGAUCUUUUAUGUUUAGGAUAGUCAAGCGUCUACCAAAGUGCCUGUCCUAUCUCUGGAAGAAGUCUGCAUUUUGUGAUAAAAGUAGAAAACUCAAUCAACCUGUCAUCAGUUACGUAACUUAAAAGUUUCUCCAAAAGAAUCCUUUUCUACUUGGGAAGCACAAACAGCCAAAAGCAGCACUGGGGUUUUGACUGUCAAGGAGAUUAUUUGGACAUUAUGAAAAGGCAAAGAGAGAAACACUUCUGUAACUAUAACAAGACUAAAAAAGAAAAGCAAGAUGCAUUUUUAGAAGAAAUAAGUGGAUGACUCCUUGGACUGCAAGUGAGACUCAGCACAGGCUCAACAAGGAAAGAUGGUUGCUAAAUUACGAAUAAAAAGAGAGAGAUUUGUGGUUGCUUCAGAGAGAAAGUGGGAAGAACAGAAAGAAAAGGGGCAAAAGAAAAAAGCCCACAAGUCUGGGCCCUUCAUGGCGGACAGGCCAGUGAGCGGAAAUCGAGGUGGCAAACACACACGUCAGCGAGGGGAGCUAGAGGAUGAGGAAAACAACUGACAUUUAAAUAACGAACAUAAUAAGUAAUUUCAAUGUCCAGGUGAGUGAACCACAGAAUUACCUGUGUUUUGUCAAUCUGGUCAGAGCUAAGUUUCUAUAGUGAGUAACCACGAUAAUAAAUGCUCUCUCCUAUCCCUGAGCUGUCUAUUUAGAAAGAAUGCUUCAAAACCCUAUCAAGUUAAAUUGCAGGAGAGGAAGCAACUGAGUUCUUCAUUUGUUCCCUGACUUGCUUAUUAUUCAACAAGUAUGGAUUUGGUGUCCAUUGAGGCUGCUCUUUGCUUUGUGACCUUGAGUCAUUUACUGUCUCUGGGCCUUACUUUUAUCAUCUGUAAAAUGAGGGGCUGGAUCAGAUGAUCCUUGAGGUGCCUUCCUGCUCUGGGAUUUUUUUUGCUCUAAAGCUUUAUAGUAAAAAAUUAUUGUAAGUUAAAUGUUUUCUAACUCUGGCAGUUAAAAAAUGUUUAGUAUCCAUUCUAAACAUUUAAAAAUAGUCACCUGAAAAUAAUUCACAGAUACAAGAAAAAGUUCUGAGAAGAUCUUUUUUAAAAAAUUGGCACAUUAUGCUAUUAUGAAAUCCCUAUUUAGUGCUUUUAUAUUUAAAGUUUAAUUGGAACGGAAUCUUAAAUUUUCCAGAUUCUCCUUAUACAAGUUUCUUCUAGCAUGUAAAUCUCAUAGGCCACUUUUAACUUCAACAUCCAAGUGUCCACUCAUUUUAUGCCUGCACUCACAUUGCAUCCACUUUACAACCUGUUUCCCUUCUUUAUCCAACAAAUCCUGCCAGCUAUUCCUUUCUGAGUAAGCUAUCAUCCUAAUUCCUUGUAUCAAUCACUAGGUCCUGAGAUUUUAGAAACAAACUA